rnacentral:ncRNA from 1 species
AAUAGAAUCAGCACUCCGAGCUGUAUGACCUAAAGUUAUCCAUGGUCUGGCAGUCUGAACCUAUGGGUUCACGGGGUAGUGAAAGAAAUUCCACUACCUCCCACUUUUGGAAAGGAGGCGCUUCAUGAGUUUU